rnacentral:rRNA from 1 species
GACGUAGGGGGCAAGCGUUGUCCGGAAUCAUUGGGCGUAAAGAGCGUGUAGGCGGCCCGGUAAGUCCGCUGUGAAAGUCCAGGGCUCAACCCUGGAAUGCCGGUGGAAACUGUCGGGCUAGAGUCCGGGAAGAGGCGAGUGGAAUUCCUGGUGUAGCGGUGAAAUGCGCAGAUAUCAGGAGGAACACCAAUGGCGAAGGCAGCUCGCUGGGACGGUACUGACGCUGAGACGCGAAAGCGUGGGGAGCAAACAGG